GCCUUCGUGGUGUAGUGGUCAGCACGCUGUACGCGUUACCGAGAGGUCUGUGGUUCGAUUCCCGGUGAAGACG
rfam:Stegodyphus mimosarum contig124748, whole genome shotgun sequence.